rnacentral:rRNA from 1 species
GACAGAGGGUGCAACCGUUGUUCGGAAUUACUGGGCGUAAAGCGCGUGUAGGCUGCUUGGAAAGUCGGAUGUGAAAGCCCUGGGCUCAACCCAGGAAGUGCAUUCGAAACUCCCGAGCUCGAGUACCGGAGAGGAAGGCGGAAUUCUCGGUGUAGAGGUGAAAUUCGUAGAUAUCGAGAGGAACACCUGUAGCGAAGGCGGCCUUCUGGACGGUUACUGACGCUGAGACGUGAAAGCGUGGGGAGCAAACAGG